AGUUACAAGAAAAGUAUCAAAGCUCUCUUCCCCUUUCUGUUUAUAAUCUGCUCUUGCCUUUUGGAAGUCAGGCCUUUGUUUUCACUCUGUAAACUGAUGUUUUGUGCCUUCUCUGACACUGGCAAUGGAAUGUUGUCCCAUGCAUCAUGAAAGAUUGUUUUAGAAAUGUUGCUGAGCUCCCUAAAUCAGGAAGGUGGCUGAAGGGGUUGUUUGUAGUUCUCGUGGUGUUGAUCAUCUCCUGCUUCUCUUGCAGGACGUGGGGGCUGAGGAGAGCCCUGCUCAGUCUGCCUUGGGCUCCUGCACUGCUGGGGCUGAUGCCAGAGCUCCCCAGAGCAGGAGAAGUGCUCGCUUCAAGAAGAGGAGGAGGACAUGAGAAGGAGAUGUGGGUCAUGGAAUGAGCUCUGCCUUCCUGCAUGGCAGGAGGAGAUAAUCUUUGCACUGUUCACCUUUUCCACUUCCAGUGAUGACUGGAUGGACCUGGGGAAGAGGAAAAUGCUGGAUUGAUUUUCCCAUCCCUCAACAAAAUCUGCAUCUGUAGGCAAGGUUUAAAAAGGAUAGAUUUCCCUCCAGCCAGUUUCUUUCAGGCACAGACUCCUGCUCUUUCAAACUCCCACCUGCCAUAGAUUCUGAAGGGGAAUAUUGCAGGAAAUGUGGGGAAACAAGCAAUGGUGGUUAUUUAUUUCUUCUUGUGUUGUUUAUGUGAAUGCUUAUCCAUGUUCAGAAUAUGUUAAUUGGGUGGUUUUUAGUGCUGUGACAGUGGCUUUGCUUGGUAACUGACUGAAUACUGUGGAAUAAGCAGCAGAUUAAUUUUGUAUCAAAAUGACUCUUAAGUAUUUGUUGAAAUACAGAUGUUUUAUUUUUCGCACUUAAAAAUUACUGAUGUAUUCUGUGUCGUUUUUUUUUUCUUGGUAAAUAGUGCUUUUAAUAAUGUGUGUGUGAGAGUGAUUGCUAAUGAGAAAAUGAAGUUUUCAGGCUGCAUGAAAACCAGGGAAAAUAGGGGAGAUGAAUAUUCAUGUGCCUAAAACUGCAGGAUUGAAUUAGGAUUCUUCCUUGAUUCUUCCACAGCCUGCCCUGUACAGACAUCACAAAUCACUUUAAAAAAACUUGUUUCUUCA
rnacentral:lncRNA from 1 species